GACGAACGCUGGCGGCGUGCUUAACACAUGCAAGUCGAACGGAAAGGCCCUGCUUUUGUGGGGUGCUCGAGUGGCGAACGGGUGAGUAACACGUGAGUAACCUGCCCUUGACUUUGGGAUAACUUCAGGAAACUGGGGCUAAUCCCGGAUCGCAGCUCCUGCUGCAUGGUGGGGGUUGGAACGUUUCGGCGGUUGGGGAUGGACUCGCGGCUUAGCAGCUUGUUGGUGGGGUAGUGGCUUACCCAGGCUUUGACGGGUAGCCGGCCUGAGAGGGUGACCGGCGACAUUGGGACUGAGAUACGGCCCAGACUCCAACGGGAGGCAGCAGUGGGGAAUAUUGCACAAUGAGCGGAAGCCUGAUGCAGCAACGCCGCGUGCGGGAUGACGGCCUUCGGGUUGUAAACCGCUUUCGCCUGUGACGAAGCGUGAGUGACGGUAAUGGAUAAAGAAGCACCGGCUAACUACGUG
rnacentral:rRNA from 1 species